rnacentral:rRNA from 1 species
UACGUAGGGUGCGAGCGUUGUCCGGAAUUAUUGGGCGUAAAGGGCUCGUAGGCGGUUUGUCGCGUCGGGAGUGAAAUCCACUGGCUUAACUGGUGGCUUGCUUUCCAUACGGGCAGACUGGAGGUAUGCAGGGGAGAACGGAAUUCCUGGUGUAGCGGUGAAAUGCGCAGAUAUCAGGAGGAACACCGGUGGCGAAGGCGGUUCUCUGGGCAUGUCCUGACGCUGAGGAGCGAAAGUGUGGGGAGCGAACAGG